rnacentral:rRNA from 1 species
UGCCAGCCGCCGCGGUAAUACGGAGGGUGCAAGCGUUGUUCGGAAUUAUUGGGCGUAAAGCGCGUGUAGGCGGUUCGUUAAGUCUGAUGUGAAAGCCUGGAGCUCAACUCCAGAAUUGCAUUUGAAACUACUAGCCUUGAGGAUAGGCGGAGAAGACAGAAUUCCACAUGUAGCGGUGAAAUGCGUAGAUAUGUGGAGGAAUACCGGUGGCGAAGGCGGUCUUCUAGCUUACUCCUGACACUGAGGCGCGAAAGCAAGGGGAGCAAACAGGAUUAGAUA